GUCCAGACUCUGAGGACCCAGGAGCCUCCAUGGGUACACUCAGAGGCCACACUAGAUGCAAAAAGAACCAUUUACAGAGAAGUGAGAGGUUCUCAAAGGCUCAACCAAAUGCCUCUGCCAGGAGAAUCUUUCAGAGUGUCCUGGAACAUUGGAAAUAGGCUUAAAGCUUAAAUGAUGAAUCAGAAGAGUUAUGCUGUAUUCUAAUGCUGCCACUAGGGCCACACAGGGUGCCAACAUCCAAUCUCAAGAUCUUCGGGAAAUAUGCUCACCCUCCAAAAUACUUACAGAUGUGUCUCCUCUUUUUUGUAAAAUAAAUGCUCUUCUUAUAUUUGGUGUUUCCUUGGUAUGGCCACAAGAUUAUUUAGUAUGACAUAUUUAAUGGUGAAGAUAAAGGGUCUUUAAUGGCUUCAGAAGUGCCCUGGGCUGAAACUUGAUCUGAGAAGGUUAUUAUCAGAACUGUGUUCCAAGAGAAAGCAGUGUGCUAGCUCUACAUGUAUACAUGAGUUGCCAUCAACAUGAAUUCAAUUACAAUGAAGAUAAUUUGGAGUAGACAAUUGUAUUUUGGUUGCAUGACAUCCAUUUUAU
rnacentral:lncRNA from 1 species